rnacentral:rRNA from 1 species
AAAUUCUGCAAUGCGCGCAAGCGUGACAGAGGAACUCCAAGUGAUCACUUACGUGAUCUUUUAUGAAGUCUAAAUCGCUUCAGGAAUAAGGGCUGGGUAAGACCCGUGCCAGCCGCCGCGGUAAUACGGGCAGCUCGAGUGGUGUUCGUGAAUACUGGGCCUAAAGCGUCUGUAGCCUGUCCGGCAAGUUUUUGGUGAAAGCCUGUGACUUAAUCAUGGGAAGUGCCAAAGAUACUACUGGACUCGGAGUCGGGAGAGGUAGGAGGUAUACUAGGGGUAGGGGUUAAAUCCUGUGAUCCCUUGUAGACCAUCAGUGGCGAAGGCGUCCUACUAGAACGAGCUCGACGGUGAGAGACGAAAGCCAGGGGCGCGACCCGGAUUAGAGACCCGGUUAGUCCUGGCCGUAAAUGAUGCCGGUUUUGUGUCGCAUCACCCACGAGGUUAUGCGGUGCCGUAGGGAAGCCGUUAAACCGGCCGCCUGGAAGUACGCCGCAAGGC